rnacentral:rRNA from 1 species
UACGGAGGGAGCUAGCGUUGUUCGGAAUUACUGGGCGUAAAGCGCACGUAGGCGGCUAUUCAAGUCGGGGGUGAAAGCCCGGGGCUCAACCCCGGAACUGCCCUCGAAACUAGAUAGCUAGAAUCUUGGAGAGGCGAGUGGAAUUCCGAGUGUAGAGGUGAAAUUCGUAGAUAUUCGGAAGAACACCUGAGGCGAAGGCGGGCUACUGGGCCGAUACUGACGCUGAUGCGCGAAAGCCAGGGGAGCGAACGGG